rnacentral:rRNA from 1 species
UACGUAGGGUGCGAGCGUUAAUCGGAAUUACUGGGCGUAAAGGGUGCGCAGGCGGUUUUGUAAGCCAGAUGUGAAAUCCCCGGGCUCAACCUGGGAAUGGCAUUUGGGACUGCAAGGCUAGAGUGUGGCAGAGGAGACUGGAAUUCCCGGUGUAGCAGUGAAAUGCGUAGAUAUCGGGAGGAAUACCGAUGGCGAAGGCAGGUCUCUGGGCUGGUACUGACGCUCAGGAGCGAAAGCGUGGGUAGCGAACAGG